GAUCGACUAUUCUGGGAGAGAGUGAAACCUAGAGAUAACAAAAAAGAGGGAGAAGUAAAUAGAGGUUGAGAAUUCCAACAAAAUGUAUCCUCGUCGAGGAGUGAUAAUUGGUCCUGAUCCAAGGGGUAAAUAGGACCUGCAUAGACGAAGAAGAGUCGGCACGUGCUGUAGUCGCGAGGUGAACCCUAAAGGAGUUGAAAGUGAUUCGAAAAGUAGCCAUGCUGGAGAAAAACAGAAUUGGCGUGUGACGAAGUGCCCUUCGCCACUCGUGCCUGGAGAGGACUGCUUGCCCGCCUCUUGCCCUGUGACUAUGGCCCCUGGGAUGUAUUGCCCUUUAAAGACAUGAUUUGGGCAUAAUGGAUUUGUGUUGUGCUGCUGCUGGCC